UCUCUUCAAAAAAAGAAAAAAAAAUCCAUCGUUCUCUCUUUUCUCUCUCUCGCCGGCGAUUCAACGUUCUCUCUCUCAGUCUCUCCGAUGAGCUCGUUCGCUUCUUGCCAUGGCUGUCAUCCAUGGCGUCGCCGACGAAGAACAUCUCCGACGUCAGAAGCUCUCCCUCGGCGGCAACCGACGAUUGCGCAGCGAAGCUCAGCGCUUGCCGGACGAUCUCGACGGAGAGAAGCCUUGUUGCGGAUCAGAGCGCAACGAGACGGCAUCGUUUCACCACCUCCUCCUCUUUCUCCCGCGUUUUCUCUGAUCUCGACGCCGAUCCAAAGCAGAUCUGAUGUCGCCGGCCAAAAUUGACCACUGCAGGUCAGAAUUCGAAAUUAUCUAUCUAUUAUGCCUCCGGCGAGGAGACCACCAUAACAAUCGCUCACCUUCGCCGGCACUCUCAGUCUUAGAGAAGAAAAUGAGGGGGAUGGAUAUAACAACUGCCCAUUCAUUUGUCUAUUGAAGGGGGAGAAGGAGUCGGUGGCGCGUCGGAGGAGGGAGUAGGAGAAGCGGUAAGGGGGCUUGGAGUCGGCUUCGGGGGCGGUGCAUAUGCAGUUGAUUUUGCGGAAGCAGACGAGGAGGGAGAAGGCGGUGGCGGCGCCGGAGCCAGUGAGUGGGUGGAGGAGGUGCGUGCGUGCGUGCGGAGGGGCUGUGGUGGCUGAAGGGAUGAAGGUGACGGGGAUUGGGUGAUUGGGUGCAUCGUGAUUAAAAGGUUGAGUCUUUGGGUGUUGGGUGUGAUGUUACCGUUGAGUCUUUGGUGAUGGUGGGUUGGUUUUAAAGGUUGAGUGACUUGAGUCUGUUAAUGGUGGGUUUUUUCACAGGAGGAAGAAAGGAAGAAGAAGAAGAAGGCGGCUUUAGCUGGUUCGUUUUGUGCCGUGAAGGAGAGAAUGACAGGAACCAAAAGCCAGGACAAACCGGCCCGUUUUGUGUCGGUUCGGGUUUAGGCCGGUCCCUGUUCUCUGCAGCUGCAAGUCCGGCCCGAUGUAGCUAUGCCGGUUCUGGUCCCGGUCCCUGUAAAAGCAGUGCCGGUCUGGGACCGUGCCCAGCCCUAGUCUUCUUGGCUUCUUGCGUAGGCUAGGGUUUUAACUGAAUUUAGAGAUUCUAAUUUGGAUCUGGAUAUGAUGGAAUUGGAAUUGACUAGGUGCAUUUGAUUCGGCUAUCUUCGAAUGGAAUUGAACUGGUAUGCGAUUAUAUGAUGAGAAAAUUGAAGUAUGUCGGAGCCGGAGCUUUUCUUCUUUAACUGCUUCGCAGAUCCGGCUAAAAUCUGGAAUCCUCCAGUGGCGGCGACGACAACACGAACAGUUUCUUGAGGUUAUGGCAGACCCGAGCCUCCUUGCUCUUCUCCGGCGAGCAACAAGCUCAAUUUUUUUUUUGGGAAUAGUGAUAGUAUCUUUCUAUGUUUAGUAUCUUUUCAACAUGAUGUCAAUAGCUUCUAUUUUCAUUUUCAUUAUUUCAAGUUAGCAGCUCCGUGUAAUUGUUCUAGUGGCAUUUCAAUAUAGUGAUAGUAGCUUUAUGUGUC